rnacentral:rRNA from 1 species
GUCCACGCCCUAAACGAUGUCUACUAGUUGUCGGGUUUUAAUUAACUUGGUAACGCAGCUAACGCGUGAAGUAGACCGCCUGGGGAGUACGGUCGCAAGAUUAAAACUCAAAGGAAUUGACGGGGACCCGCACAAGCGGUGGAUGAUGUGGAUUAAUUCGAUGCAACGCGAAAAACCUUACCUACCCUUGACAUGUCAGGAAGCUUGGAGAGAUCUGAGUGUGCCCGAAAGGGAGCCUGAACACAGGUGCUGCAUGGCU